rnacentral:rRNA from 1 species
CGUAGGGCGCAAGCGUUGUCCGGAAUUAUUGGGCGUAAAGAGCUCGUAGGCGGUUUGUCGCGUCUGCUGUGAAAACCCGAGGCUCAACCUCGGGCCUGCAGUGGGUACGGGCAGACUAGAGUGCGGUAGGGGAGACUGGAAUUCCUGGUGUAGCGGUGGAAUGCGCAGAUAUCAGGAGGAACACCGAUGGCGAAGGCAGGUCUCUGGGCCGCAACUGACGCUGAGGAGCGAAAGCAUGGGAGCGAACAGGAUU